rnacentral:rRNA from 1 species
GGCUAUGGCCAUGCUACCCUGAACGCGCCCGAUCCCGUCUGAUCUCGGAAGCUAAGCAGGGUCAGGCCUGGUUAAUACUUAGAUGGGAGACCACCCAGAACGACCAGGUGCUAUAGGCA